AGACUAACUGGCCAGAGCAGAGGGAGGGGAGCUUAGGCUAUAGGCUCUGCUCGGGGGUCCAACUGAAGCAAGAGGCACUGAGGUUAGACCAGAGUGAGGACUUCCAGCCACUCACCCAGGGGCCAGCUGAUAAGGGGAUCACUCAUUAGGAAACCAAGAGCUCAAGGGAUUGGGUCAGCCCAGCAGGAGACAAAGGCACAGAGGGGAAUGGCCUGAGGGUGCCUGGGGCUGGAAUCAGAGGCAGCGGCGGAGCCAAGCAGGCCUACCUGGCUCUCUGCGAGCCCCCUGCCCCACACUGCCCAGGGCAGCCCCCGCCCGGCCCCUACCCUCCUCACACUUGGUUCUACCCUGCCCACAGCACCUGAGGAUGCCCUCUUCCAAGUCAGGCGGCCCUGCACCUCAGGACCCCUCCCCGCUGUGAAGAACCUGCUCAAACCAGGUUCAGCCAGGCCACCUCCUGCUGCCCCUCACCAAGGCCAGCCUGACGGGCCCAUCACCCGCUCCUGCAAAGCUGGGUAGGGCUCAGGGUGCCCCCAGCCCUAAGGGACCCUCGGAAAUAGGCUGGAGCCCAGAUGCUCAGCCUCUGCGUCUCGGGGUGACCUUCCUCCCAAAGGGAGUUGCCCAGCUCUCACGGGCCAGCAGUUCCGGCCACAAGGUGGGGCUCCUGCAGCCCUGCCCCCCGCAUCCCCUCCUCCCCCAGGAGAGAGUUCCCCGUCACCAGAGGCAGUGCUGUCCGAGAGCUGGACCAGCCUCUGGUUGUUGGAGACGAAGGCCUGGUGGCUGGCCGGCCACAGGAAGCGGUGGGCCUCAGUGGGAUAGAAAAGAUGGGGCAUCCACCAGACUCUCCCAGUGCCCCGGCCCCAGCUGGCACCACAGCUAUACCUGGGCUUAUUCCAGACCUUGUCGCCGGGACCCCCUGGCCCCGCUGGGCUCUCAUUGCUGGCACCCUUGCCGCGGGCGUCCUCCUCGUCUCCUGCCUCCUCUGUGCUGCCUGCUGCUGCUGCCGCCGCCACAGGAAGAAGCGCAGGGACAAGGAGGCCGUGGGCCUGGGCAGUGCCCGAGGCACCACCACCACCCACCUGGUGCAACCUGAUGUGGAUAGCCUGGAGUCCAGCCCGGGGGGUGCUCAGCAAUGGGGGCGCCUGCAGCUCUCCCUGGAGUACGACUUUGGAAGCCAGGAGGUAAAGGGCCCCACUGCGCAGGACCAGCGAUUCUGCGAGUUUCCAGAAAGGGUGAUGGGGGAAGGGCAGACCCUGUGCCCUGGGUAGUGGGGAGCUGACAGGGCAGGGGCCCUUGGCUGAGCCCACCCCCCUGGCUGAGCCCACCCCCCUGGCUCCCAGAUCAGGGUGGGCCUGAGGCAGGCAGCCGACCUGGGGCCUGGGGGCACCGUGGACCCCUAUGCCCGGGUCAGCAUCUCCACCCAGGCCGGACACAGACAUGAGACAAAAGUGCACCGAGGCACGCUCUGCCCCGUGUUUGACGAGACCUGCUGCUUCCACGUGAGUCAGGGAUGGUCGGCUGGGUGGGCCUGGACGGCUGGUUGGGCCUGGGCUGGGUGGGCCUGGGCAGCUGGGUGGGCCUGAGCUAGGGCAACAGGGCCUGGCUCACACAGCUGCCUCAGAUCCCGCAGGCAGAGCUGCCAGGGGCCACCCUGCAGGUGCAGCUUUUCAACUUCAAGCGCUUCUCGGGGCAUGAGCCCCUGGGUGAGCUCCGCCUGCCACUGGGCACCGUGGAUCUGCAGCAUGUUCUGGAGCACUGGUACCCGCUGGGCCCGCCGGCUGCCACCGAGGUGAGGCGCUGGUCACCAGGCCACAGCCCAAGGCACAGCUGGCAGGGGCUCUGCCCUAUGGGCCAUUGGAAAGACUGAGGCCUGAUGGGCAGCAGCUGCGGGGGCCUGAACCCCAGCUUGGCCAGAAUCACCCUCCCGGGCUGAAGCCCCUCUUGCUGCCCACAGCCCGAGCAGGUCGGGGAGCUGUGCUUCUCUCUCCGGUACGUGCCCAGCUCAGGCCGGCUGACCGUGGUGGUGCUGGAGGCUCGAGGCCUGCGUCCAGGACUGGCAGAGCCGUACGUGAAGGUCCAGCUCAUGCUGAACCAGAGGAAGUGGAAGAAGAGAAAGACAGCCACCAAAAAGGGCACGGCGGCCCCCUACUUCAAUGAGGCCUUCACCUUCCUGGUGCCCUUCAGCCAGGUCCAGAAUGUGGACCUGGUGCUGGCUGUCUGGGACCACGGCCUUCCGCUCCGGGCUGAGCCCGUGGGCAAGGUGCACCUGGGUGCCCGGGCCUCGGGGCAGCCCCUGCAGCACUGGGCAGACAUGCUGGCCCACGCCCGGCGGCCCGUCGCCCAGUGGCACCCCCUGCGGCCAGCCAGGGAGGUGGACCGCGUGCUGGCCCUGCAGCCCCGCCUGCGCCUGCGCCUGCCCUUGCCCCACUCCUGAAUGCACCACGUGCCUCUGUCUCCCCGCUGGGCCCAGGCACUUGCUCAGGCCGCCCUGCAGGACCACUGCAAUAAACGCCUUCUCCUGCCA
rnacentral:sRNA from 1 species